UUGAAAGGGAAACGAUUGAAGUCAGUCGUACCGACGAGGAAUCAGCUUAUCGUGUGUUAACUUGUGGGCGUGCGUGAGUUUCGGCCUCGCUGUUUGCAUGUUUGUGCGCUUUGGGUGUACUUUUUCGUAUGGUUGGCCAACAUCAGUUUCGAUCACCAUAAAAUGACUGGCGGAAUGUAGCUUCGAUUUCGGUUGAAGUGUUAUAGCCUCUGGUAGAUGUGGUGAUUGGGACUGAGGAUUGCAACGAAUAUCCUUUGGGCUAUCCGUCUGGCCUCUGAAAGUUGCUUGGGUGCUGAAAGCUUGCUUAUGGUUAUCUAAGUUAACGGUCAAUAGGUUAGAACGUGAUUACAUUCGUUAAGGAUGUUGACGUA
rnacentral:rRNA from 1 species